ensembl:rRNA 5S_rRNA 5S ribosomal RNA
UGAGAUACCUAAAAAUUUUCCUGAACAUACCCAAUCUCAUCUGAUCUCAGAAGCUUAAGCAUGGUCAGGCCUGGUUAGUACUUGAAUGGGUGGGAUCUAAA